rnacentral:miRNA from 1 species
UAGUGUUGCAAUGUAAACAUUGCAGUUUCUAUGAAACUGCAAUGUUUACAUUGCAGCACUA